AACGUAGGAGGCAAGCGUUAUCCGGAGUUACUGGGCGUAAAGCGUGCGUAGGCGGAUUGAUAAGUGGGUGGUGAAAGCGCCCGGCUAAACCGGGCGAGGUCCAUUCAGACUGUCAGUCUAGAGGCGGAUAGAGGGGUGCGGGAAUUCCGGGUGUAGCGGUGAAAUGAUGUAGAGAUCCGGAGGAACGACCAGUGGUGGCAAACGGCGCCCUGGGUCCGAACUGACGCUGGAAGCACGGAAAGCGUGGGGAGCGAACGGG
rnacentral:rRNA from 1 species